rnacentral:rRNA from 1 species
AGUACCCGGAGGAAGAGAAAGAAAAUUCGAUUCCCUUAGUAGCGGCGAGCGAAACGGGAAGAGCCCAAACCAAAAAGCUUGCUUGUUGGGGUUGUAGGACACUCUAUACGGAGUUACAAAGGACGACAUUAGACGAAUCAUCUGGAAAGAUGAAUCAAAGAAGGUAAUAAUCCUGUAGUCGAAAAUGUUGUCUCUCUUGAGUGGAUCCUGAGUACGACGGAGCACGUGAAAUUCCGUCGGAAUCUGGGAGGACCAUCUCCUAAGGCUAAAUACUCUCUAGUGACCGAUAGUGAACCAGUACCGUGAGGGAAAGGUGAAAAGCACCCCGGAAGGGGAGUGAAAUAGAACCUGAAACCGUGUGCUUACAAGUAGUCAGAGCCCGUUAAUGGGUGAUGGCGUGCCUUUUGUAGAAUGAACCGGCGAGUUACGAUUUGAUGCAAGGUUAAGCAGUAAAUGUGGAGCCGUAGCGAAAGCGAGUCUGAAUAGGGCGUUUAGUAUUUGGUCGUAGACCCGAAACCAGGUGAUCUACCCUUGGUCAGGUUGAAGUUCAGGUAACACUGAAUGGAGGACCGAACCGACUUACGUUGAAAAGUGAGCGGAUGAACUGAGGGUAGCGGAGAAAUUCCAAUCGAACCUGGAGAUAGCUGGUUCUCUCCGAAAUAGCUUUAGGGCUAGCCUCAAGUGAUGAUUAUUGGAGGUAGAGCACUGUUUGGACGAGGGGCCCCUCUCGGGUUACCGAAUUCAGACAAACUCCGAAUGCCAAUUAAUUUAACUUGGGAGUCAGAACAUGGGUGAUAAGGUCCGUGUUCGAAAGGGAAACAGCCCAGACCACCAGCUAAGGUCCCAAAAUAUAUGUUAAGUGGAAAAGGAUGUGGCGUUGCCCAGACAACUAGGAUGUUGGCUUAGAAGCAGCCAUCAUUUAAAGAGUGCGUAAUAGCUCACUAGUCGAGUGACACUGCGCCGAAAAUGUACCGGGGCUAAACAUAUUACCGAAGCUGUGGAUUGUCCUUUGGACAAUGGUAGGAGAGCGUUCUAAGGGCGUUGAAGCAUGAUCGUAAGGACAUGUGGAGCGCUUAGAAGUGAGAAUGCCGGUGUGAGUAGCGAAAGACGGGUGAGAAUCCCGUCCACCGAUUGACUAAGGUUUCCAGAGGAAGGCUCGUCCGCUCUGGGUUAGUCGGGUCCUAAGCUGAGGCCGACAGGCGUAGGCGAUGGAUAACAGGUUGAUAUUCCUGUACCACCUAUAAUCGUUUUAAUCGAUGGGGGGACGCAGUAGGAUAGGCGAAGCGUGCGAUUGGAUUGCACGUCUAAGCAGUAAGGCUGAGUAUUAGGCAAAUCCGGUACUCGUUAAGGCUGAGC